rnacentral:rRNA from 1 species
AUUGAACGCUGGCGGAAUGCUUUACACAUGCAAGUCGAACGGCAGCACGGGGGCAUCCCUGGUGGCGAGUGGCGAACGGGUGAGUAAUACAUCGGAACGUGCCCUGUCGUGGGGGAUAACGUAGCUAAAGUUACGCUAAUACCGCAUACGAUCUGAUGAUGAAAGCGGGGGACCUUCGGGCCUCGCGCGAUCGGAGCUGCCGAUGUCAGAUUAGGUAGUUGGUUGGGUAAAGGCCUACCAAGCCGACGAUCUGUAGCUGGUCUGAGAGGACGACCAGCCACACUGGGACUGAGACACGGCCCAGACUCCUACGGGAGGCAGCAGUGGGGAAUUUUGGACAAUGGGCGAAAGCCUGAUCCAGCCAUGCCGCGUGCAGGACGAAGGCCUUCGGGUUGUAAACUGCUUUUGUACGGAACGAAAAGGCUCUGGCUAAUACCUGGGGCUCAUGACGGUACCGUAAGAAUAAGCACCGGCUAACUACGUG